AUUGAACGCUAGCGGGAUGCCUUACACAUGCAAGUCGAACGGAGUGGCGAACGGGUGCGUAAUGUAUCGGAACGUUCCCAGUAGCGGGGGAUAACUACGCGAAAGCGUAGCUAAUACCGCCUACUAUCUGAGCGGCCGAUAUCGGUGUAGCGAGUGGGUGGGGUAACUGCCAACCAAGGCGACGAUCCGUAGCUGGUUGGAGAGGACGACCGGCCAAAGUGGAACUGAGACACGGCCCAGACUCCUACGUGAGGCAGCAGUGGGGAAUUUUGGACAAUGGGGGAAACCCUGAUCCAGCCAUCCCGCGUGUGCGAUGAAGGCCUUCGGGUUGUAAAGCACUUUUGGCAGGAAAGCGGUACCUGCAGAAUAAGCACCGGCUAACUACGUGCCAGCAGCCGCGGUAAUAC
rnacentral:rRNA from 1 species